rnacentral:rRNA from 1 species
AACGAACGCUGGCGGCGUGGAUAAGACAUGCAAGUCGAGCGAUCAUUAAGGGGUAGCAAUAUUCCUUGGUGGGAGCGGCGCAAGGGUGCGUAACACGUGGGUAAUCUGCCAUGAAGUUUGGGAUAAUCCCGCGAAAGCGGGACUAAUACCGGAUGUGACAGCCUGGGGGCAUCUCUGGGUUGUUAAAGUUGGGGACCGUAAGGCCUGACGCUUCAUGAUGAGCCCGCGGCCUAUCAGCUAGUUGGUGAGGUAACGGCUCACCAAGGCUAAGACGGGUAGCUGGUCUGAGAGGACGACCAGCCACACUGGAACUGAGACACGGUCCAGACACCUACGGGUGGCUG